rfam:Gossypium raimondii Chr08_contig_393, whole genome shotgun sequence.
AAACCAUGAUGUGGAUAUCAUUGGAUCAACAUCUUAAAAUGUUCCCAAGCUUCGUGAAAGCCUUCUCCUUCUAAUUGCUUGAAUGUAGAGACCUCCUUCCUUAGUUG